rnacentral:rRNA from 1 species
GAUGAACGCUGGCGGCGUGCCUAACACAUGCAAGUCGAACGGACGGACGAGAAGCUUUUUGCUCUGAUGGUAGCGGCGGCCGGGUGGGUAAUACGUGGAUAACCACCUUCUAACUCUUGGAGAACAUCGGCAAGACAGUGCUACUACUACAGGAUAUUUUGUACCGGUCGCAUCAAGGGUCUAUGACAGAUUUUGUGUCUGUUAUAGAUGGUCUCGCGUUGCAUCAGCUGGUUGGUGAGGUAACGGCGUACCAAGGCAACGAUGCAUAGCCGACCUGAGAGGAGGAUCGGCCGCAAUAGAACGGAUGAGAGGUCCAGACUCCUACGGGAGGCAGCAGUAGGGAAUCUUCCGGAAUGGUCGGAAGCAUGACGGAGCAGCGACGCGGGAGGGAUGAAGGUCGUCGGAUCGUAGAGCUCUGUUAUUAGGGAAGAAGAUAUGUGGACGUAACUGUGGGUAUCUUGACGGUAGCUAAAUAGAAAGCCACGGCUAACUACGUG